GCUCAACCGGGGAGGGUCAUUGGAAACUGGGGAACUUGAGUGCAGAAGAGGAGAGUGGAAUUCCACGUGUAGCGGUGAAAUGCGUAGAGAUGUGGAGGAACACCAGUGGCGAAGGCGACUCUCUGGUCUGUAACUGACGCUGAGGAGCGAAAGCGUGGGGAGCGAACAGGAUUAGAUACCCUGGUAGUCCACGCCGUAUACGAUGAGUGCUAAGUGUUAGGGGGUUUCCGCCCCUUAGUGCUGCAGCUAACGCAUUAAGCACUCCGCCUGGGGAGUACGGUCGCAAGACUGAAACUCAAAGGAAUUGAUGGGGGCCCGCACAAGCGGUGGAGCAUGUGGUUUAAUUCGAAGCAACGCGAAGAACCUUACCAGGUCUUGACAUCCUCUGACAAUCCGAGAGAUAGGACGUCCCCUUCGGGGGCAGAGUGACAGGUGGUGCAUGGUUGUCGUCAGCUCGUGUCGUGAGAUGUUGGGUUAAGUCCCGCAACGAGCGCAACCCUUGAUCUUAGUUGCCAGCAUUCAGUUGGGCACUCUAAGGUGACUGCCGGUGACAGACCGGAGGAAGGUGGGAAUGACGUCAAAUCAUCAUGCCCCUUAUGACCUGGGCUACACACGUGCUACAAUGGACAGAACAAAG
rnacentral:rRNA from 1 species